GGCGCGUCUUUGAUUUUACUAAUAAUACGUGAUGAUGGUAGUCAUCACAUACAUUUUACAUUACAGAUCCCUUAUUUUAAAGUCGACUCAAAGACUACUUCUUACUACUUGGCAUCUUACUUAGCUUGGCCACGGCAAGUUCAAAUUAUUCUUUGAUCUUUUUUUGUAUUUAGGGUGAGACAGGAGUUGCUGGAACUGUCGGUCCGCGAGGAAUAAAAGGAGAACAGGGUCAAGAAGGCUUACAGGGAUCGGAUGGAGAAGUAGGACUCCCAGGAGAAAAGGGCGAGCAAGGAGUACCUGGUAGUGUAGGCCCGCGAGGAUCGAUGGGGGUCCAGGGUGUUUCAGGCCCCGAAGGUUCAAGUGGAUCAGAAGGAGGCGAGGGUGACCAGGGAGAAAAGGGAUCCCCAGGAAAUGAGGGAUCGGCUGGCUUUUCUGGAGGACAGG